GCUUGCUUUGGCAACACAUAUACUAAAACUGGAAUACAGAGAAGAUUAGCAUGGCCCCUGCACAGGAUGACAUGCAGAUUUGUGAUGCAUUCCACUUUUUU
ensembl:snRNA U6 U6 spliceosomal RNA